GAGCUGGGAGUGAGCGGCCGUACCCGUCACUGCCCUCCUCAGGACCGAGGCGGCGAGCGCUUAAUGCUGGAGUUAGCGUUCCCCAGCACAAGCUUACCAGGUCCAGCUAGGGUGACAACCCUAGAGGGAAGGCCGCAGGAGCUUUGGUCGUAGGGAGAAUAGAUAGGGACACUUAAGGCCAGUCCACGGGGAGGCGGCUCCAUAAACAGCUCCUUGAUGUUAGCAACAGACCGGGCCUACGGGAGCUAGGGCCGCCCGGCAACGUACCCAGUGUUUGUCAACAGUGGCACUCCCCCAUCGCCGACCAAACCAGUCGCCCCAGAGCCUGCACGCAGCCUCACUCAAGUAUGCCUUUCCUCUUUUCCUCCCAGUACAUAACCUUCACUGCUGGGGGACACAGGUCCGGGUCCAGCACCAUCCCCGAAACCUUCCCCCUCGGCUCUGAGAGCGCCCCCACCUGUUAGAGAGGGAACUUGGGUCCCAAGAAGACUCCAAUUUGGCUCAGUUCUCUAUCACCCCCUAAGCAAAAAUACAAAUAAGCACAUCAUUUUUUCUUAAUAAAUUUAUUCACAAAAAGUGAUAUUGCAGAGGGUCUGGGGGCUGUACAUGGGCAGGGGCUUGGUGAGCUUUGUACAUGGGGCUGGGAGACAAGGGAGCCUCCAGGUGGAAGGGUAUUUUUUAAUAAAAAAAAUAAUGGAGCUACAACCACCCCCUCCCCCCUCCCCGAUUAAAAAGACACAAAAAUAGACGUCUCUGAGGUAAACGGGGAGCCUGGGGCUUAAGGGUGUUUAAAGGGCUUCACAGGUGCCAGAGCUUAGAGGUGUCACAGGCACCGGGGUGGCUCCUGCAUCAGUUGGUAGAACAGCACGUAGCCCUCGCUGGAUGCCACCUGGUUUUCACUGACAGGGGAGACACUAGGAAAAAAGGAGAUCGGGAAAGGGUUGUGGUCAUUCCUGUUUACUCCCUUCUCCCUACAAGACCGAACCUCAGAGCAUCCAGGAAAUGAUCAGGCAAGACCUCCACCUCUCCUUUCACCUGGCACUCUGCUCUCCUGGAGCUUCAUAGAAGGGGAGGGUGUCAGGGCUGAGUGGGAAUGGGGCAGGAUGUAAAUAGGAGGCUAUUCUCACCGAGAGUCAUUGUAGACAUGCCAACCAGUCUGGCACCGGCACAGGGCUGUGUAGUGGCCAUAGUGGACGCUGCCUGAGUGGUUGCAAAGGGCAUACAGCUGGUAUACAGGACUUCCUGCGGGGUUGGAGAUGAUCAAGUUCUAUAAUCAGAGCUGUGCCCCCACUCCUUUGGCUCCUUAGGACUUUCCCCACCAGACUCACCGGCUUUGUCACUGGCAAAGUCCCCUAGGCUCAGUCGCUGCAGUGGAAAGUCUACACCUACUGAACUUUUUUUGAUGGAGCCU
rnacentral:lncRNA from 1 species